GUGACCCCAGGAUGGGCGAGGCU
rnacentral:rRNA from 1 species